rnacentral:rRNA from 1 species
AGUGAACGCUGGCGGUAGGCCUAACACAUGCAAGUCGAACGGCAGCACAGUAAGAGCUUGCUCUUACGGGUGGCGAGUGGCGGACGGGUGAGGAAUACAUCGGAAUCUACUUUUUCGUGGGGGAUAACGUAGGGAAACUUACGCUAAUACCGCAUACGACCUACGGGUGAAAGCAGGGGAUCUUCGGACCUUGCGCGAUUGAAUGAGCCGAUGUCGGAUUAGCUAGUUGGCGGGGUAAAGGCCCACCAAGGCGACGAUCCGUAGCUGGUCUGAGAGGAUGAAUAGCCACACUGGAACUUAGGCACGGGCCAGACUCCUUAGGGAGGCAGCAGUGGGGAAUAUUGGACAAUGGGCGCAAGCCUGAUCCAGCCAUACCGCGUGGGUGAAGAAGGCCUUCGGGUUGUAAAGCCCUUUUGUUGGGAAAGAAAAGCAGCAGGUUAAUACCCCGCUGUUCUGACGGUACCCAAAGAAUAAGCACCGGCUAACUUCGUG